GGCAGUGUGGCGUAGUGGUUUGAGCCUUGGACCGCAACUCUGGAGACCAAGGUUCGAUUCCCAGCUUGGCCA